rnacentral:misc_RNA from 1 species
GGAUGCGGUGGAUUUUGAUGGGUCAUUUCCGAAAAAGGUAGCCAAGUUAGUAUCAGAAGCAAUUGAGGAGAAUUUCACUGCAUGGAAGGAAGGGAAAUCAGGGAAUGUGCCUCGAAUUGUACUUGUGGUGACUAAGCUUGACUUGUUGCCCACUUCUCUAUCACCUACUAGAUUAGAGCAUUGGGUCAGACAAAGAGCGAGGGAAGGUGGUGCCGGUGUGAUUAAGAAAGUGCAUUUUGUGAGUGCAGUUAAAGAC